AGAGUUUGAUCCUGGCUCAGAAUGAACGCUGGCGGCAGGCCUAACACAUGCAAGUCGAACGGAGUUAUAUUGUAGCUUGCUAUAGUAUAACUUAGUGGCAGACGGGUGAGUAAUGUAUAGGAAUCUACCUAGUAGUACGGAAUAAUUGUUGGAAACGGCAACUAAUACCGUAUACGCCCUACGGGGGAAAAAUUUAUUGCUAUUAGAUGAGCCUAUAUUAGAUUAGCUAUUUGGUGGAGUAAUAGCCUACCAAGGCAAUGAUCUAUAGCUGAUCUGAGAGGAUGAUCAGCCACACUGGAACUGAGAUACGGUCCAGACUCCUACGGGAGGCAGCAGUGGGGAAUAUUGGACAAUGGGCGAAAGCCUGAUCCAGCCAUGCCGCAUGAGUGAAGAAGGCCUUUGGGUUGUAAAGCUCUUUUAGUGAGGAAGAUAAUGACGGUACUUACAGAAGAAGUCCUGGCUAACUCCGUGCCAGCAGCCGCGGUAAUACGGAGAGGGCUAGCGUUAUUCGGAAUUAUUGGGCGUAAAGGGCGCGUAGGCGGAUUAGUAAGUUAAAAGUGAAAUCCCAAGGCUCAACCUUGGAAUUGCUUUUAAAACUGCUAAUCUAGAGAUUGAAAGAGGAUAGAGGAAUUCCUAGUGUAGAGGUGAAAUUCGUAAAUAUUAGGAGGAACACCAGUGGCGAAGGCGUCUAUCUGGUUCAAAUCUGACGCUGAGGCGCGAAGGCGUGGGGAGCAAACAGGAUUAGAUACCCUGGUAGUCCACGCUGUAAACGAUGAAUGUUAAAUAUGGGAAGUUUUACUUUCUGUAUUACAGCUAACGCGUUAAACAUUCCGCCUGGGGACUACGGUCGCAAGAUUAAAACUCAAAGGAAUUGACGGGGACCCGCACAAGCGGUGGAGCAUGUGGUUUAAUUCGAUGCAACGCG
rnacentral:rRNA from 1 species